CUAUAAAUUCGAUGCUUAUAACUGUCUUUUUGGUGGUUAUUUUGUUUUCUUUGUUGUUUGUGUAACAGAUAUGUCACCUAAAGAGACUCAGGAUGCAAGCCCAACCAAAGCACAGAGAGUUCUUGAGGUCCACUCCAAAAUUACCAGCUGCCCUCCCCCUGGCAGCUGUAACCAUAGUAGUCAUCCAUCCCAGCUCUAGUUUGUUUAAGGUGAAUGAAGGCCCAGAAUGGUAUUCUUCCUGCAAAUCCUGAGUAUGUGAACCAAGAUGGAAUUUCGAUUGGAACUCCAUAGUGUAAGUUUCUUAUUAGUGCAACAAAGGUAUUAGACAAGUGAUAAAAAGGUUUAUUCAUUUUGCAAGUGAAUUAUUAUUA
rnacentral:lncRNA from 1 species